GGGCACAUGGUGUAGUUGGUUAUCACGCCCGCUUAGCAUUUCAUUGUGCAUUGCGGGCGGUCCCCGGUUCAAUUCCGGGUGUGUCCA
rnacentral:tRNA from 1 species